GAUACCUCUCUGUUGGAGGUUCAGGUGUGUUUAAUCAGAGUGAUACCUCUCUGUUGUUGGUUCAGGUGUGUUUAAUCAGAGUGAUACCUCUCUGUUGUUGGUUCAGGUGUGUUUAAUCAGAGUGAUACCUCUCUGUUGUUGGUUCAGGUGAGUUUAAUCAGAGUGAUACCUCUCUGUUGUUGGUUCAGGUGUGUUUAAUCAGAGUGAUACCUCUCUGUUGUUGGUUCAGGUGUAUUUAAUCAGAGUGAUACCUCUCUGUUGUUGGUUCAGGUGUGUUUAAUCAGAGUGAUACCUCUCUGUUGUUGGUUCAGGUGUGUUUAAUCAGAGUGAUACCUCUCUGUUGGAGGUUCAGGUGUGUUUAAUCAGAGUGAUACCUCUCUGUUGGAGGUUCAGGUGUGUUUAAUCAGAGUGAUACCUCUCUGUUGUUGGUUCAGGUGUGUUUAAUCAGAGUGAUACCUCUCUGUUGUUGGUUCAGGUGUAUUUAAUCAGAGUGAUACCUCUCUGUUGUUGGUUCAGGUGUGUUUAAUCAGAGUGAUACCUCUCUGUUGUAGGCGUUCUCGGAGCUGCAGGUGAAGAUGAUCGACACGCAGCAGAAGGUGAAGUUGGCCGACCUGCAGAUCGAUCAGCUGACUCGGGUUCAGAAACAUGCUAAGCUAACUCACGCAGAGAUCGGCGUGCUGCCGGACAACACGCGACUCUACGAGGGAGUUGGACGCAUGUUCAUUCUUCAGUCGAAGGAGGAAAUCAACAAUCAGCUGACAGACAAACAGAAAACAGCUGAUGAGAAAAUUAAAGAACUUGAGGUACAAAAACACUCUGAAACCUUACCUGUCCAGGUGUGUGUGGGCGUGCUACCUGUCCAGGUGUGUGUGUGUGGGCGCGCUACCUGUCCAGGUGUGUGUGUGUGUGUGGGCGCGCUACCUGUCCAGGUGUGUGUGUGUGUGUGUGUGUGGGCGCGCUACCUGUCCAGGUGUGUGUGUGUGUGUGUGGGCGCGCUACCUGUCCAGGUGUGUGUGUGUGUGUGUGUGUGCGCGCUACCUGUCCAGGUGUGUGUGUGUGUGUGUGUGCGCGCUACCUGUCCAGGUGUGUGUGUGUGUGUGUGCGCGCUACCUGUCCAGGUGUGUGUGUGUGUGUGUGUGCGCGCUACCUGUCCAGGUGUGUGUGUGUGUGUGUGUGCGCGCUACCUGUCCAGGUGUGUGUGUGUGUGUGUGUGUGUGCGCGCUACCUGUCCAGGUGUGUGUGUGUGUGUGUGCGCGCUACCUGUCCAGGUGUGUGUGUGUGGGGCGCGCUACCUGUCCAGGUGUGUGUGUGGGCGCGCGCGCUACCUGUCCAGGUGUAUCAGUGGUCUGACUGUGUGUUGUGUGAUUUCCAGCAGAAGAAGGUGUACCUUGAACGCAGCGUGAAAGAAGCAGAAGACAACAUCCGAGAGAUGCUGCUGUCCAGGAGAGCUCAGUGAUCAUCUGUAAUCAAUAACUCAUCUAUACUCAAUAAUCAAUGUAUGUGUUUAGAGUUUGUUCAUAUUAAAAUGUUGAACCUUCA